rnacentral:rRNA from 1 species
UACGUAGGGGGCUAGCGUUGUCCGGAAUCAUUGGGCGUAAAGCGCGCGUAGGCGGCCUUGUAAGUCCGUUCUGAAAGCCCGGGGCUCAACCCCGGGAGGCGGAUGGAUACUGCAAGGCUCGAGUCCGGAAGAGGCAAGUGGAAUUCCCGGUGUAGCGGUGAAAUGCGCAGAUAUCGGGAGGAACACCAAUUGCGAAGGCAGCUCGCUGGGACGUCACUGACGCUGAGACGCGAAAGCGUGGGGAGCAAACAGG